AGAGUUUGAUCCUGGCUCAGAACGAACGUUAGCGGCGCGCCUAACACAUGCAAGUCGCACGAGAAAGGGCUUCGGCCCCAGUACAGUGGCGCACGGGUGAGUAACACGUGGGUAAUGUUCCCUCAGGCGGGGGAUAACCUUCCGAAAGGAGGGCUAAUACCGCAUAAGACCACGGGCUCGCGAGAAGCUGAGGUGUAAAGCAGGCCUCUCAUGAAAGCUGCACCGGAGGAUCAGCCCGCGGCGGAUUAACUGGUGGCGGGGUAUUGGCCACCAGGCGACGAUCGUGCUGUCUGAGAGAGAUAGCAACUGGACGAGACCGCCAACUCUCGGAGCGCGUGGAUUGCCAUGCAAGCUAUCGCACCGGUAGAGAGCUCGGUGUAACUUUAGAGACAGCACCGGUAUGCCAAGGUACGUACUCGAGAGCCCGCUACUCGGCACGC
rnacentral:rRNA from 1 species